AUACUCUUUAACAUUAUACGCUCCACACUUCCUUCCAGUAGGUGGCAGGAAUGCACCUUUUAAGUUGGUUUCCCAACCGCCAUUACACUCCAAAAGAAGGCGCAUUGUAGUCCAACUCUGCAUACAGACUGUCUUGUUUUAGAAUAUUAACAUUUAUAAAGUUGAUUAUUAUUCAAUCGUAAAUUGUUGUAAUCUGCUUGUGACUUGGAAAUGCAAUGCUCAGUAAACGAAAAUAAACCAGUCUCGAUGACGUAUUCAGCCUACACAUGCGACAUCAGGAGGAUGCAGCCUUCCGUUUGAGAAACGGAAUGAAAGGGUUCAUCCAUUACAAUGGGGAAAAUGUUAUCCUUCUACUUUCGACCGUGGCAGGAUUGGCUACAAUAAAGCUACAGUAACUCUGAUAACAACUUUGUAUAACUGUGGUAAGCAUGAAAGCAUAUCUCAACAGACAGCACGGUUAACCAGAGGAUGGAGUACAGGAUCGAAACGUUUAAAGACAAAGUGCAUGCGCAAUGUAAGCGAACGAGCAAACGACUGCGAUGACGAGCACAAUACGAAAGAGCUGACGGGAAAAUAAAUUUGGUAUUUUGCAAGGA